rnacentral:lncRNA from 1 species
AGCACACCACUACAUUUUACUGAAAUGCAUCUUCUUUUCUUUUUCCUAUUUCCCCACUGAAAUCACAUUGCCAAACCUCACAAUCACUCCCACGGGGAUUCCCUGAAUCUCUUGCUUCCUUCUUGCUUUCUUUUAGACUGGGUUUUAACCACAAUUCUGGCUAAAUAAAACUCCACCUACACUCCAUUGGCCUUCAUCUGUGCACACAAAUAACCAUACCAGCUGCUCAGACUUUAUAUUUGUGAUUAAUUAGCUCCAAGUUGGGAUUCCAGGAGCUGUUGCUAUACUUUCCCAGUCUAUGAAUACUUUAACUCCUUCUGAGAGCUGUUUUAUAGUUUCUUUUCCUGGAAUUCCAACACUUUUCUCUGCUAAUCAGGAGAUUAAGUUCUCUUUCAUCAAGAGUAGGGAAGGGAUGAGAUACAAGCUUCCAUGGGCUUCCACCUGCACAUGCAUCAAGCUACCGACAUCUCAACCUACACACUCUUCCCUGUAGUUUCUUAAUGUGGAUGAGUGGUACAUGUUUUCCUCUAAACAUAAUCCCUUUAUCUGUGCAAUAGAUUCUCUCUUCUCUUUUCCUUUCAAGGAUACAGCUACUUAGCUCUUGCCCUAGUGAAACCUUUCCAUCCAACAAACACAUACAUUUGUCAUAUUUUCUAUAAUUGUAAAAGAAAUUAUCUUGAUCUUUGCUAUGGUAAGAAUUUUUGUGUCUUCUGAAAUGUUUAUGGUGAAAUCAUAAACCUCAAUGCAAUGUGUAUUAGUCUCUUCUUAUGCUGCUAAUACCCAAGACAAAGCAAUUUACAAAGGAAAGAGCUUUAACUGACUCACAGUUCCACAUGAUUGAGGGGUAAGGCUCACAAUCAUGAAGAAAGGCACAUCUUAUAUGGUGGCAGGAAAAAGAGUUUCUGCAGGGGAACUCCCCUUUAUAAAACCAUCAGUUCUCAUGAGACUUAUUCACUAUCACGAGAACAGCAUGGGGAAUACCUACUGCCAUGAUUCAGUUAUCUCCACUUGGUCCUGCCCUUAACAUGUGGGGAUCAUUAUCAUUCAAGUGAGGACACAGUAAGAGGAGCAGAAAGCAAGUUGUCACUGAAUCUGCCAUGUCUUCAUCUUGGACAUCUCAGGCCCCAGAACGCCCAGGAUGUGGUCUGUUUGGUGGUCUCGUCAGGCCUCUGAGCCAAAGCUCAGCCAUUAUAGCCUCUGUGACCUUCACAUAUACAUCUAGAUGGCCUGCAGGAGCCAAGAAGUCUGGAGCAGCUGAAAAACCACAAGAGAAGUGAAACAGCCAGCUCCUGCCCUAACUGAUUGACCGACCUCAUGACAUUCCACCAACUUAUGACAUUCCACCAUUAUGACUUGUUUCUGCCUUGCCCAAACUGAUCAAUUGAUCCUGUGACAUUCUUCUCCUGGACAAUGAGUCUCAUCAUCUCUCCACCAGGAACCAUGUGACCCCCUCCCCUACUGAAAACAGACAACCACCUUUAACUCUAACUUUCCACUGCCUACCCAAGCCCUAUAAAGCUUCUCCUCUCCUAUCUCCCUUCUCUGACUUUCUUUUCAGACUCAGCCCACUUGCACCCAACUGAAUAAACAGCCUUGUUUGCUCACACAAAGCCUGUUCACGUGGUCUUCUAUAUGGACACGUGGACAUAUGCCCAAGUUGGUCAGAGUACAGUUUGGCUUUACACACUGUAAGGAGAUGGGAGACAUCAAUCAACAUAUAUGUAAAAUAAACAUUGGUUCAGCCUAGAAGGGUUCAAGUCGGGAG